rnacentral:rRNA from 1 species
UACGUAGGGUGCAAGCGUUAUCCGGAAUUAUUGGGCGUAAAGAGCUCGUAGGCGGUUUGUCACGUCUGCUGUGAAAACUGGAGGCUCAACCUCCAGCCUGCAGUGGGUACGGGCAGACUAGAGUGCGGUAGGGAGAUUGGAAUUCCUGGUGUAGCGGUGGAAUGCGCAGAUAUCAGGAGGAACACCGAUGGCGAAGGCAGAUCUCUGGGCCGUAACUGACGCUGAGGAGCGAAAGCAUGGGGAGCGAACAGG